UCCUCCUCCCCUCCCCCGCAUCGCCCCAACCCCUUCGCAGACGCGUGGACGACCCGUGGAUUAGUCGCCUGUGGCGACUGCAGGGCCUUCUCGCUCGCUGAGCGGACAGGGGAGGGUCCCGAUAGCGAAUGGGGACCCGGAUUGUGACGCGGCCUCUCCCGGAGUGUCCCCCAGGCCCGAUGGCGCGGCCUUCUAGACCCUCCCCGGGCUAGGGCGGGGUUUGCGGGGCUGAUCUCUGAAGUGGGGUCUCUGCCCCCCGCGUCUCCAGGGCUGCUGGGGGCCCGAGCGGGGGUCUUGCGCAUCCUUUGUGCCCCACUUCCCCUCCUCCCAGCCUUGGCGUGGGGGCGGGGGACCGCAUGGAUGCGGUUCCUCUUUCUCUCCCUGGUGUCUGGGCGGCGCCUCUCGCGUUCACUCGGCUCGGCUCCGGGUUUCUUAACAUCUUCCCCUCUUCUUCCCCCUCCUCCUCCCCGUCUUCCCCGCCGCCCCUCCCGACAGAUCCCGUAGAACCUCCCUAAGGAAAAUGUAGGCUUCCCCGAAAACCCGGGCUCAGUGGUGCAGAAUCGAAACCUUUCCCACGUUUUUCUUAACAAAAGCAUCCUUCUCCAUUUCCCCAAGCAAAGUCCUCGUGCUGUUAGGAAGGGGGGAACGAUUGUUCUCGACAUGUCAUCUCCAUUUUUUCCUAAUGUUUUGUAUUGAAAACGGUAGGUAUUGUCUUUAAAAUAAAGGUUGUGAAUUUAUCUGACUGGUUCAAUUUGUGACUUAUGCUGUUUGUUUUUUUUAAAUACAGGCACACAUCUGUUGAAAUUCCUAUUAAGUUGAAAAAAAAAUUCUCUCUAACCUGUUAUUGCAAACAAAGCGGUGGUGGGAGGCAGUAUCAAGUCAUUCCAGAAGAUUCUGCAUUUGUCAUAUUGCAGAGAGCCUAGACUGGGUGGAGGCUGGGAGGAGUUAUUUUAAAUGGGAAAAAGUGUUUUUAAAAUUUUUUUUGUUUUGUUAGAUACAUUUAAGGCUUAAACAGAGAACACACAAGCUAGCACAUCUUCAUGCUAAUGAAAAGGGAAUGCUGAUCUCCAGUUGUCUGCAGAUUCCUGCCUGUAUUGCACCAUUUUUUUCACAGAAAAGCGAGUGACCUCCCACCUAUAUCCAAAGCAACCCAGUGAUGUCACACAAUGACACAGAGGCUGCAAUGCACCUAAGGGCUGGUAGGGAGUAUGCAAAUGGCAUUUGUCCAAGGUAAUGCAGAAAUUAGCAGAUAAGCCAGGUGGAAUUGAACACUUCAUCUUCCUGCAGAUGAGGAUUAGUACAAAAAAUAAUUUUAUUUACCCUUACACAUGCAGGUCAGUGACCUCUAGAUAGGCCUAUUCAUUUUCCUAUUUCUAGUUUUCUCAUAGUGUAUAAGACAUUUGUAUUUUUAAACAUUCACCUCACCAUUAAAAUGGGACAGUGAUGGAAUAAAGAUAGAAAUUUUAAACUAUAUUUUAUGAUCAUAGUGCAGGAAUGGGCUGUAUACUUGGGUUUAUUGCCUGUUAUUAACUUGGCAGGUUUAAAAACCUUAACAAAAUAUGACUUCCUACUCGGUCAUUUUCAGUAAAUGUUAGGGAAUAUUACGUUACAAAACACUCGGUUGGGAUUGGAAAAGUUUUCUUUUGCAAUAUUUAUGCUUCUGCUCCUUGAUGGAGUUGGAGGAAAAAACACUGUCAAAUAAAGCAGACCUCUUUUCAAA